CUAGACUUAUAAUGUGUGUAUAUAAGGAAACUCGCAUCAUUUCUCAUAUUAAUAGUGCAAUAUAACAUGAUUUCCAAGAUAAAGUAGAAUGGCAUAACAAUCAAAUUAUUAGAACUGAUCUACCUGCUCAAAAAGCUUGCUUGGAAAGCUUGAGCAAUGUUCUAACUGUCAUUAUGUCAACUUCCACAAUUCCAUUGAUCUGAUUACUUUCUAGAGGUAAAAGGAAAUUGCAUCUAGGUGAAAAGUAUACCUGAAUAAAUCAAGUGAAAUAAAUCACUUCUUAUUUCCCAAGUGAAAUUGUGGUAUCAUGUCAAGCAAAGAAGGAUGCUUCGCUAUAACAUCUAUUGGUGACAUAAUUCACUUCUUAUUUCCCAAGUGAAAUUGUGGUAUCAUGUCAAGCAAAGAAGAAUGCUUCGCUAUAACAUCUAUUAGUAACU
rnacentral:lncRNA from 1 species